rnacentral:rRNA from 1 species
AACGAACGCUGGCGGCAGGCCUAACACAUGCAAGUCGAGCGCGUGUAGCAAUACACGAGCGGCGCACGGGUGAGUAGCGCGUGGGAAUCUGCCCUGUGGUGGGGGACAACCUCGGGAAACUGAGGCUAAUACCGCAUACGUCCUUCGGGAGAAAGACUUCGGUCGCCAUAGGAGGAGCCCGCGUCCGAUUAGCUAGUUGGUGAGGUAACGGCUCACCAAGGCGACGAUCGGUAGCUGGUCUGAGAGGACGGCCAGCCACACUGGGACUGAGACACGGCCCAGACUCCUACGGGAGGCAGCAGUGGGGAGUAUUGGACAAUGGGGGCAACCCUGAUCCAGCCAUGCCGCGUGAGUGAUGAAGGCCUUCGGGUUGUAAAGCUCUUUUGGCGGGGAAGAUGAUGACGGUACCCGCAGAAUAAGCCCCGGCUAACUUCGUGCCAGCCGCCGCCGUAAGAC